GGCUGGUCCAAAGGUAAUGCGUUAUCUCAAUUGAUUGUUCACAGUCAGUUACAGAUCGAACUCCUUGUUCUACUCUUUUCCCCUUCUAACUACUGCACUUGACUAGUCUUAA
rnacentral:Y_RNA from 1 species